rnacentral:lncRNA from 1 species
UUUUACCUUCAACCAUUGACUCCAGCUGAGGCAGCCCAGAGAGUUAAGGAUUCAGCCAAGGAGAUUGUUAGCGUCAAGAAUUUCAUCGACAAGAAGGCCUGGCCAUAUGUCCAGAAUGACCUUCGUCUCAGAGCAGAAUACCUUCGCUAUGACCUUAAGACCGUCAUCUCUGCUAAGCCAAAAGAAGAGAAGGGAAAACUCCAGGACCUGACUGGAAAGCUCUUGAAGACAAUUAGUGAUGUAAGUCAAAUCUCUACAUUCUUGGUUACAUGAAUGUCUAUGUCAUAGUAUUUCAAAAGUAGUGAAAUUAUGUGCAUAGAAAUCCAAAGGGCUGCUUAUGUUUUCGCA